GGGGGUGUAGUUCAGUUGGUUAGAACGCCAGCCUGUCACGCUGGAGGUCGCGAGUUCAAGUCUCGUCACUCUCGCCA
rnacentral:tRNA from 1 species